UCCGUGCCAGCAGCCGCGGUAAUACGGGAGGGUGCGAGCGUUAAUCGGAAUUACGUGGGACGUAAAGCGCAUGCAGGCGGCCUGUUAAGUCAGAUGUAGAAACGGCCCGGGGACCUUAACCGUACGGUAAUUGCUAUUUAGAAAACGUGGCGAGGCUAGAGUCUUGUAGAGGGGGUAGAAUUUCAGGUGUAGCGGUGAAAAUGCGUAGAGAUCUGAAGGAAUACCAGUGGCGAAGGCGGCCCCCUGGACAAAGACUGACGCUCAGAUGCGAAAGCGUGGGGAGCAAACAGGAUUAGAUACCCUGGUAG
rnacentral:rRNA from 1 species